GUGCUCACUUUGGCAGCACACUUACUAAAAUUGGAACGAUACAGAGAAGAUUAGCAUGGCCGUUGUGCAAGGAUGACAUGCAAAUUCGUGAAGCAUUCCAUAUUUUG
rnacentral:snRNA from 1 species